rnacentral:lncRNA from 1 species
GGAUCUCCCAACCUCAGAAGUGAAUUUAAAAGAUUUGUAUACAGAUGGCUGGGGAAUCUGCGGCCCCCAGGCCCUCCCCAGGGCUAGCACAGAGCUGGCCCACAGCAGGUUCCAGGGCUGAAUAAGGAGAAAGGGCCUCCCGCAAGUUGCUGAUGUCACUGCCGCCUGCAGAUGCUCCACACAGCCCCCUCGUUCUAUCCCACAGCCUCUGUUCUAAGUCCAGGGGCACUGUGUCCACUCUAGGGUGUGGCGGGUGGUGGCCCAGCCUCCUUGGAGGAGCUCGGAGGUCUCCCGGGCGGCGCUGCCCCAGCACGGUCUCCCUUUCUGUCUUCAGCCGUCUCCCUGCGUGGCGGUGCUGCUGAGCUGUGAUUCCGGUGGACUGAAAGAAAGGAUGAAGGGAGCCCGCUGGAGUUCCGAGUUCCCCUCCUGCUCAGCCGGUGGCCUUCCAGCCAGGCCGCGGGGUGUGGCUUCUGCAGAGGGGCGAGCGCAGACUUCACCAGCGCCCUUCUGACCCGUGGCCUCAGCCAGGGAGUGUAUUUGUGCAGAGACUGGAUCUCACUGGUGACUUUUGGUAACUCGAGCAAAAAUGGAAACCUGCGGAUAUUUUUCGAUGGAUUCAGAGAGAAACCAAUUAAGAUAGUGACUCUCCUCUCGUCCCUGAGCAGACUUAGCUACAGACUCAGUCACGUGCAGAGGGGUGGGGGCUGGAGCUGCCUCUGCGCCAGGACCCUGCCGUCUCCUCCGGGCCUCGCCGCGCCUGCGCUCCGAGGGCGGCAGGGGGCAGUGUCCCGACGCGGAUGGCGGUCCGGGCAGCGGCCUCAAUUUGUCAGCUCUCGGAUCAAAGCCGGUGCCGGAGACGUUCUCAUUAUGGGUGUUCCCUGAACAUCCCUUAACUAAAUCAAAUGCUUGCUGUGAUAUGAAAAACAUCGUUUCAUAUCUGAAACAUGGGUUUCCAGUAUAACCUGCAGACGCUACAGAACGAAGCCAUCUCAUUACGGAAUGAGGACCCCUGGAGUCAAAAACAAGGCAGUGGAAUAAGUUCUGAUCAUCAGGGAAGCACAGCGAGGGGAAGCCAAGACACGGGCAGGGACACUUCUGGUUGCGAAAUAAAUUUCUAAAACCCAGAUCAUCUCCUUACACAUAUGCAAAAUCUUAACAUUUGCGGAAAAUAAAU